rnacentral:rRNA from 1 species
GAGCCUGUGGCUUAAUUUGACUAAACACGGGGAAACUUGCUAGGUCCAGACAUAGCAAGGAUUAACAGAUUGAGAACUCUUUCUUGCUUAGGGUUUAGGGUUUAGGGUUAAGGAGUCUAAGCCCAUCACGUGUGA